AACGUAGGAGGCGAGCGUUAUCCGGAUUCACUGGGCGUAAAGCGCAUGUAGGUGGUUCGUUAAGUAGGCUGUGAAAGCCCCUGGCUCAACUGGGGGAGGCCAGCCUAAACUGGCGGACUUGAGGUUCAGAGAGGAGAGUGGAAUUCCCGGUGUAGCGGUGGAAUGCGUAGAGAUCGGGAGGAACACCAGUGGCGAAAGCGGCUCUCUGGCUGAAUCCUGACACUGAGAUGCGAAAGCGUGGGGAGCAAAC
rnacentral:rRNA from 1 species